UACGUAGGCGGUCAAAUAAGUCAGGUGUAAAAGGCAAUGGCUCAACCAUUGUAAGCACUUGAAACUGUUUGACUUGAGUACAGGAGAGGUAAGUGGAAUUCCUAGUGUAGCGGUGAAAUGCGUAGAUAUUAGGAGGAACACCAGUGGCGAAGGCGACUUACUGGACUGUAACUGACGCUGAGGUACGAAAGCGUGGGGAGCGAACA
rnacentral:rRNA from 1 species